GUCUACGGCCAUACCACCCUGAACGCACCCGAUCUCGUCUGGUCUCGGAAGCUAAGCAGGGUCGGGCCUGGUUAGUUCUUGGAUGGGAGACCGCCUGGGAAUACCGGGUGCUGUAGGCU
ensembl:rRNA 5S_rRNA 5S ribosomal RNA